ensembl:tRNA
GCCUCAAUAGCUCAGUUGGGAGAGCGUACGACUGAAGAUCGUAAGGUCACCAGUUCGAUCCUGGUUUGGGGCA